CCUACGGGAGGCAGCAGUGAGGAAUAUUGGUCAAUGGGCGAGAGCCUGAACCAGCCAAGUAGCGUGAAGGAUGAAGGUCCUACGGAUUGUAAACUUCUUUUAUACGGGAAUAAAGUAUCCUACGUGUAGGAUUUUGUAUGUACCGUAUGAAUAAGGAUCGGCUAACUCCGUGCCAGCAGCCGCGGUAAUACGGAGGAUCCGAGCGUUAUCCGGAUUUAUUGGGUUUAAAGGGAGCGUAGGCGGGUGCUUAAGUCAGUUGUGAAAGUUUGCGGCUCAACCGUAAAAUUGCAGUUGAUACUGGGCGCCUUGAGUGCAGCAUAGGUAGGCGGAAUUCGUGGUGUAGCGGUGAAAUGCUUAGAUAUCACGAAGAACUCCAAUUGCGAAGGCAGCCUGCUAAGCUGCAACUGACAUUGAGGCUCGAAAG
rnacentral:rRNA from 1 species